rnacentral:rRNA from 1 species
AGGGCGCACGGUGAAUGCCUUGGCACUAGGAGCCGAUGAAGGACGGGACUAACGCCGAUAUGCUUUGGGGAGCUGUAAGUGAGCUUUGAUCCAAAGAUUUCCGAAUGGGGGAACCCAGCAUCUUUGAUAGGAUGUUACUGCUGACUGAAUACAUAGGUCAGUAGAGGUAGACGCAGAGAACUGAAACAUCUAAGUACCUGCAGGAAGAGAAAGAAAAAUCGAUUCCCUGAGUAGCGGCGAGCGAAACGGGAAUAGCCCAAACCAGAAAGCUUGCUUUCUGGGGUUGUAGGACUGAACAUAUAGAGUCAUAAAUGAAGUUGGUAGGAGAAGCGACCUGGAAAGGUCUGCCGAAGAAGGUAAAAGCCCUGUAACCGAAACCAAUUUCACUCUGAUCAGUAUCCUGAGUACGGCGGAACACGAGAAAUUCCGUCGGAAUCCGGGAGGACCAUCUCCCAAGGCUAAAUACUCCCUAGUGACCGAUAGUGAACCAGUACCGUGAGGGAAAGGUGAAAAGAACCUCGGAAGAGGAGUGAAAUAGCCCCUGAAACCGUGUGCCUACAAAUAGUUAAAGCCCGUUAAUGGGUGAUAGCGUGCCUUUUGUAGAAUGAACCGGCGAGUUACGAUCACAUGCGAGGUUAAGUUGAUGAGACGGAGCCGUAGCGAAAGCGAGUCUGAAUAGGGCGAAUGAGUAUGUGGUCGUAGACCCGAAACCAAGUGAUCUACCCAUGUCCAGGUUGAAGGUGCGGUAAUACGCACUGGAGGACCGAACCCACGUAUGUUGAAAAAUGCGGGGAUGAGGUGUGGGUAGCGGAGAAAUUCCAAUCGAACUUGGAGAUAGCUGGUUCUCUCCGAAAUAGCUUUAGGGCUAGCCUCGGAAUUAGAAUCAUGGAGGUAGAGCAACUGUUUGGACUAGGGGCCCUUCUAGGGUUACCGAAUUCAGAUAAACUCCGAAUGCCAUUGAUUUAUAUCCGGGAGUCAGACUGCGAGUGAUAAGAUCCGUAGUCGAAAGGGAAACAGCCCAGACCACCAGCUAAGGUCCCAAAGUUUAUGUUAAGUGGAAAAGGAUGUGGAGUUGCUUAGACAACUAGGAUGUUGGCUCAGAAGCAGCCAUCAUUUAAAGAGUGCGUAAUAGCUCACUAGUCGAGUGACCCUGCGCCGAAAAUUUACCGGGGCUAAACAUAACACCGAAGCUGUGGAUAGAACCAUUGGUUCUAUGGUAGGAGAGCGUUCUAAGGGCGUUGAAGCUAGAUCGUGAGGACUAGUGGAGCGCUUAGAAGUGAGAAUGCCGGUAUGAGUAGCGAAAGACGGGUGAGAAUCCCGUCCACCGAAUGACUAAGGUUUCCUGGGGAAGGCUCGUCCUCCCAGGGUUAGUCGGGACCUAAGUCGAGGCCGAAUGGCGUAGACGAUGGACAACAGGUUGAGAUUCCUGUACCAGUUUGUUUUGUUUGAACAAUGGAGGGACACAGUAGGCUAAGGAAUACGUGCUGUUGGAUAUGCACGUCCAAGCAACAAGUUUUGAAGUGAGUCAAAUGCUUGCUUCUUUAAGAACAAGUUGUGAUGGGGAGGGAAAUUAAGUACCGAAGUUCCCGAUGUCACACUGUCAAGAAAAGCUUCUAGUUAGAAACAAACUGCCCGUACCGCAAACCGACACAGGUAGUCGAGGAGAGAAUCCUAAGGUGUGCGAGAGAACUCUCGUUAAGGAACUCGGCAAAAUGACCCCGUAACUUCGGGAGAAGGGGUGCUGACCAAUUGGUCAGCCGCAGUGAAUAGGCCCAGGCGACUGUUUAUCAAAAACACAGGUCUCUGCAAAAUCGUAAGAUGACGUAUAGGGGCUGACGCCUGCCCGGUGCUGGAAGGUUAAGAGGAAGGGUUAGCUCUCGGGCGAAGCUCAGAAUUGAAGCCCCAGUAAACGGCGGCCGUAACUAUAACGGUCCUAAGGUAGCGAAAUUCCUUGUCGGGUAAGUUCCGACCCGCACGAAAGGCGUAACGAUCUGGGCACUGUCUCAACGAGAGACUCGGUGAAAUUAUAGUACCUGUGAAGAUGCAGGUUACCCGCGACAGGACGGAA